rnacentral:rRNA from 1 species
ACGGUUACCUUGUUACGACUUCACCCCAGUCAUCUGCCCUGCCUUAGGCGGUUCCCUCCAAAUGGUUAGGCCACCGACUUUGGGCAUUGCAAACUUCCAUGGUGUGACGGGCGGUGUGUACAAGGCCCGGGAACGUAUUCACCGCGGCAUGCUGAUCCGCGAUUACUAGCGAUUCCGACUUCGUGUAGGCGAGUUGCAGCCUACAGUCCGAACUGAGAACGGCUUUAAGAGAUUAGCUUACUCUCGCGAGUUCGCAACUCGUUGUACCGUCCAUUGUAGCACGUGUGUAGCCCAGGUCAUAAGGGGCAUGAUGAUCUGACGUCGUCCCCACCUUCCUCCGGUUUGUCACCGGCAGUCUCACUAGAGUGCCCAACUAAAUGCUGGCAACUAGUAACAAGGGUUGCGCUCGUUGCGGGACUUAACCCAACAUCUCACGACACGAGCUGACGACGACCAUGCACCACCUGUCA